ACCAGAAAAGAGCUGCUAUCAAUAUUUUUGUACAUGUGGGUCCGCUCCUGGGGUAGAAGUAUCACUGUCCCAAGCUUCAUGUUUUUUGUGCUGCUGUUUUCAGAGCUAGUUCUGGACGUCUGGACAUUUUCAGUUUUUCCAAGAACUCUGACUGGCCUUCUACGAAUGCUCCUCCUCACCCUGAGACUUCAACCAGAACUGCAUGGGACAAUGCAACAGAGUCCUGCCCCCAGUGCAAGCGAAGGGCGGCCUGUAACCUCCUUCUGACCAGUUGUUCAAUGCCUUACCACUAUCACCAAUUCAGUCACCCCCAAGGCCUGCUGCUGGCUUGUCUGUGCAUGACCCAGUGAGACAGACCUUUCCUGAAGAUCUUCUAAGCUAUCUUGAGCUAAAAAAUUGUUUCACCCUGUCUUUUUGUGGGUUCUGCCACUCCAGAAUUCAUUUUGAGGAACUAUUUUAACA